GAAAACCCCGGUCUGUCAGGAUUUCUCCCUUCGUGGUGUUGGAAGACAUUUCAGGGUUUUUGUGUCCCCUUUGGCAUCCUUGCACACACAAGUUUGUAGGAAUUUUCUUAGGAUCAUCCCUUCAUCCUUUCAGAUGUCUAAACAUGAAUACCUCUCAUGUCAUCAUCGAGGAUCCUGCUGUAGCUUCCCACAGAGAAGGAUCUUUAGACUUUUCCUGUGAAGUUGGGCAGGGAGAAGAUGGAGGAGCCUUAUGAAAUGAUUGUGAACAUGAGAGAGUGGGACUAUGGAACCCUGAAUGUGGGUAGUGGAUGCUGGAAAUGGAUGCUGGUGUCUUAACAGAGGACCAGACAGAAGUAACCAGUGGCUGUGUGGAAGAAGAGACCCUGAAUUUUGCCACGGUGAUGCUGAGUUUUCUGGAAAAUCUGUGCCCACAAAUUUAUUUGUGCAGUAAAAAUUGAAAUUUUUUCAUCUUUAA